UGGGGAAUAUUGCACAAUGGGCGCAAGCCUGAUGCAGCCAUGCCGCGUGUGUGAAGAAGGCCUUCGGGUUGUAAAGCACUUUCAGCGGGGAGGAAGGCGGUGAGGUUAAUAACCUCAUCGAUUGACGUUACCCGCAGAAGAAGCACCGGCUAACUCCGUGCCAGCAGCCGCGGUAAUACGGAGGGUGCAAGCGUUAAUCGGAAUUACUGGGCGUAAAGCGCACGCAGGCGGUCUGUCAAGUCGGAUGUGAAAUCCCCGGGCUCAACCUGGGAACUGCAUUCGAAAAUGGCAGGCUAGAGUCUUGUAGAGGGGGGUAGAAUUCCAGGUGUAGCGGUGAAAUGCGUAGAGAUCUGGGGGAAUACCGGUGGCGAAGGCGGCCCCCUGGACAAAGACUGACGCUCAGGUGCGAAAGCGUGGGGGGCAAACAGG
rnacentral:rRNA from 1 species